UACGGGGGGAGCAAGCGUUGUUCGGAUUUACUGGGCGUAAAGGGCGCGUAGGCGGCGCAACAAGUCACUUGUGAAAUCUCCGGGCUUAACCCGGAGCGGUCAAGUGAUACUGUCGUGCUAGAGUGCGGAAGGGGCUACUGGAAUUCUCGGUGUAGCGGUGAAAUGCGUAGAGAUCAGGAAGAACAUCGGUGGCGAAGGCGCUCUGCGUGGACCAUAACUGACACUCGAGGGACGAAAGCUAGGGGAGCAAAUGGG
rnacentral:rRNA from 1 species